rnacentral:rRNA from 1 species
CCUACGGGGGGCAGCAGUGGGGAAUAUUGCACAAUGGGGGAAACCCUGAUGCAGCAACGCCGCGUGAGCGAUGAAGGCCUUCGGGUCGUAAAGCUCUGUCCUAAGGGAAGAAUACUGACGGUACCUUAGGAGGAAGCCCCGGCUAACUACGUGCCAGCAGCCGCGGUAAUACGUAGGGGGCUAGCGUUAUCCGGAAUUACUGGGCGUAAAGGGUGCGUAGGCGGUUCAACAAGUCGGUCGUGAAAACCCGGGGCUCAACCCCGGGACGCCGGUCGAAACUGUUGUGACUAGGGUCCGGUAGAGGUGAGUGGAAUUCUCGGUGUAGCGGUGGAAUGCGCAGAUAUCGAGAGGAACACCAGUAGCGAAGGCGGCUCACUGGGCCGGUACCGACGCUGAGGAGCGAAAGCAUGGGGAGCAAACAGGAUUAGAUACCCUGGUAGUC